CCUACGGGAGGCAGCAGUGGGGAAUAUUGCGCAAUGGGCGAAAGCCUGACGCAGCGACGCCGCGUGAGGGAUGAAUGUCUUCGGAGCGUAAACCUCUGUCAGCAGGGAAGAACGGUCACUGUGCUAAUCAGCAGUGAAUUGACGGUACCUGCAAAGGAAGCACCGGAGAACUCCGUGCCAGCAGCCGCGGGAAUACGGGGGGUGCGAGCGUUAAUCGGAGUUACUGGGCGGAAAGCGCUCGUAGGUGGUAUGGUAAGUAAAGGGUGAAAGCCCCGGGCUCAACGUGGGAACUGCCUUUGAAACUGGCAGACUGGAGUGUGUGAGAGGAGAGUGGAAUUCGAGGUGUAGGAGUGAAAUCCGUAGAUAUCUGGAGGAACAUCAGUGGCGAAGGCGACUAUCUGGCACAUAACUGACGCUGAGGAGCGAAAGCGUGGGUAGCAAACAGGAUUAGAUACCCUUGUAGUC
rnacentral:rRNA from 1 species